AAACAUUUCUGUAUUUUAAUACAGUUGUCUUACUAUAUUUUAUAUUGUCUACUGUAUUACUUAAACAAUUUAAACGUUAAUCAUCUCAUACAAGUACUGCAUUAUUUAUCCAGUGUUGAUAAAAUGCGAAUAUUUAUGUGUAAUAGAUGAUUAAAUUGGUGGUAAAAAAUAUAAUUCAUUAAAAAUUUAAAAAUUCGUGCAUAUUGCCAUAGUUGAAUUCGUAAGUUAAUUUCCAAUACUAGAAAACAACGGGAAUUACAAUUUCGCGAGUAUGUAAUAAGUCGUUUAAGGAUCUUAUUUCUAGAAAAUAAUUAGCAAAUCAUGAAGUCCUAAUUCAUGAGUAUUGUGUAAAUCGAGCUACCUCAAAUACUUCAACACUAUUCACCGAUUCAUAAAUGAAUAACCAAGGAUGUUCACCAAAACUACAUCAAAUUUACAUUGGGUAACAGUAUUACUCAUGGAAUACUUCAUACUUAAGGUGUAGUUGAUGUAGAUUGUCUAGGAAAAGGUUUGAACUUGGAAAACAGAUUUAAGGACUGAAUUCUAAAACUAACAAAAUAUAUAGAUUGCAAUAAAGCUUGGAGGUAUAUAAAAACUGUUAUAAUAAAAUUGUUCAAUAGCUUUGUAGUUAAUGUAUGAAAUUUAAGUUUUUAUUUCGUUUAUAUUUAAAGUAUAAACAACCAGCAUCAUUAUACUUUUUACGACAAUUGUUAUAUAAAAAAUAAAAUACAAUAUGCCGCAAAACAAAAUAAAAAAAUAUAUGUAAAAAAAAAAA